AGAAUUUGAUCUGGUUCAGGAUGAACGCUGGCGGCGUGCCUAACACAUGCAAGUCGAACGGAGAACCCGCCCUCGGGCGGUUAUGAAGUGGCGAACGGGUGAGUAACACGUGACCAACCUGCCCCGCGCUCAGGGACAGCCUCGGGAAACCGGGAUUAAUACCUGAUGCGCCCCCGCCCCCGCAUGGGGGAGGGGGGAAAGCCCAGGCGGCGCGGGAUGGGGUCGCGGCCCAUCAGGUAGACGGCCGGGUAGAGGCCGGCCGUGCCGACGACGGGUAGCCGGGUUGAGAGACCGACCGGCCACAUUGGGACUGAGAUACGGCCCAGACUCCUACGGGAGGCAGCAGUGGGGAAUAUUGCGCAAUGGGGGCAACCCUGACGCAGCAACGCCGCGUGCGGGACGACGGCCCUCGGGUUGUAAACCGCUUUCAGCAGGGAAGACAUCGACGGUACCUGCAGAAGAAGCCCCGGCUAACUACGUGCCAGCAGCUGC
rnacentral:rRNA from 1 species